AGAGUUUGAUCCUGGCUCAGGAUGAACGCUAGCGGCAGGCUUAAUACAUGCAAGUCGAACGGGAUUCGGGGUAGCAAUACUUUGAUGAGAGUGGCGCACGGGUGCGUAACGCGUAUGCAACCUACCUUUAACAGGGGAAUAGCCCCGAGAAAUCGGGAUUAAUACUCCGUAACAUUGCGGUGUGGCAUCACACUGCACUUAAAGCUGAGGCGGUUAAAGAUGGGCAUGCGUGACAUUAGCUAGUUGGUGAGGUAACGGCUCACCAAGGCAACGAUGUCUAGGGGUCCUGAGAGGGUUAUCCCCCACACUGGUACUGAGACACGGACCAGACUCCUACGGGAGGCAGCAGUAAGGAAUAUUGGUCAAUGGGCGCAAGCCUGAACCAGCCAUGCCGCGUGAAGGAUGACGGCCCUAUGGGUUGUAAACUUCUUUUGUACGGGAAAAAACCACCGGUCGUGAAUCGGUGCUGAUGGUACCGUAAGAAUAAGCAUCGGCUAACUCCGUGCCAGCAGCCGCGGUAAUACGGAGGAUGCAAGCGUUAUCCGGAUUCAUUGGGUUUAAAGGGUGCGCAGGCGGAAUAAUAAGUCAGAGGUGAAAGCCUACAGCUUAACUGUAGAAUUGCCUUUGAUACUGUUAUUCUUGAGUGUUGUUGAGGUAGGCGGAAUGUGUCAUGUAGCGGUGAAAUGCUUAGAUAUGACACAGAACACCGAUCGCGAAGGCAGCUUACCAAGCAAUAACUGACGCUCAUGCACGAAAGCGUGGGGAUCAAACAGGAUUAGAUACCCUGGUAGUCCACGCUGUAAACGAUGAUUACUCGAUGUUGGCGAUACACAGUCAGCGUCUGAGCGAAAGCAAUAAGUAAUCCACCUGGGGAGUACGAUCGCAAGAUUGAAACUCAAAGGAAUUGACGGGGGCC
rnacentral:rRNA from 1 species